UCCUUCUUAGGCUCAAUCAAGUCUGGAUGUUCAACCACACAGUUGUAAUCUAUCCCCUUGCUCCACUCCUCAUACAGGACAUUUACUGUAACUC